rnacentral:rRNA from 1 species
AGCUCGNUAAGCUGUAACUGACGCUGAGGCACGAAAGCUUGGAUAGCAAACAGGAUUAGAUACCCUGGUAGUCCAGGCUGUAAACGAUGAACACUCGCUGUUGGCAAUACAGAGUCAGCGGCUGAGCGAAAGCGUUAAGUGUUCCACCUGGGAAGUACGAUCGCAAGGUUGAAACUCAAAGGAAUUGACGGGGGCCCGCACAAGCGGAGGAGCAUGUGGUUUAAUUCGAUGAUACGCGAGGAACCUUACCUGGGCUUAAAUGCAUAACGACGUAUGGUGAAAGCCAUAUUUCUUCGGACGUUUUGCAAGGUGCUGCAUGGUUGUCGUCAGCUCGUGCCGUGAGGUGUCGGGUUAAGUCCCAUAACGAGCGCAACCCCUACUUCUAGUUACCAGCAUUACGGAUGGGGACUCUAGAGGAACUGCCUACGCAAGUAGAGAGGAAGGUGGGGAUGACGUCAAAUCAGCACGGCCCUUAUGUCCAGGGCUACACACGUGCUACAAUGGGCGGUACAGAGGGCAGCUACACAGCGAUGUGGUGCUAAUCUCGAAAGCCGUUCACAGUCCGGAUUAGAGUCUGCAACUCGACUCUAUGAAGCUGGAUUG